ACAAGGCCUGUGAAUUAAUCUAAAAAAAUACAACCCCUUUCCCUUCCCGAAGUGAUUAUCUGUAGCCAUAGAGCUUGGGUUGUCUUGUAAAGUCAGUUAUGAAACAAGUGUCCUGAAUCAGUCCAAUCGUAAAUUCAUUUCUUUAUUCACAGAUUUGACAGCUACCAAUGAUGAUCCAAGUGUCGUGUUAUCUUGUUUUGAUCUUUUAAUCCCACCAAAACUCAUUCUCUACCGUUCAACGUGGCAUUUGAAAUCUGUGUUAACAAGGUGAUGUGGGCGUUGCCUCAACUCGCCAACAUCAAGUACUCUGGCGUUUCAACCGAGAAUGUGGAAGAGCAUCUCAGUACAUACAUAUAUCAGAACAAAGGAGGAUUGAGUUUCAGUGACUUUAAAUCUGUGUUAUAAUCUCGGCCUCCUAGCUAAGUAAGCAUGGGCAUUACUGACUCAACCCAACAGCCUAACUAGCCAAUAGCGUGCCAAUACCACGACGGCUGCUUUUGGGACAGCCCAGCCUGGGGGAAUGGGGGAUGACACAUACCUGCUGGUUUGGGGUUUUACAUGCUGGGAUGCCAUAGCUUGUUGGAAGAUAGCUAAGUUCCACCUACCCUAAGGGCUGCUUUAAACGCUUUCUUCAAAGCAUUCAUGCUAUAACAACUGAAAUUCAUCUAUUUCAACACCAACGAAAAAUUGAACAUCUUUUCAUCCAUCAUUCAACAUUCAACACGUAAACCAAAAUGCAAUCCCAUCCCAGAGAAGAGAUGAGGAAACGCAUUGAAUACAAAUAAAAUAGUGAAGCAUUCGAUAGAUAAAUUCUGAAAAAUGAAGAGUCAUCAAAAGUCAUGUGGCUCUAUUAAU